UAACUCAUUUCACGUGUCUAGAUAGUAUUACGACAGCCCCCAUACAGGUCCCAUACAGGAGGGAGCUCCAAGCUCCACUUACACUCGCCUCGAACAUCGUUCUGAGAUAUUGGUUUAUUUUUUUUUUUUACUGGGACUCGUAAAAGUCAGUCACAGUAGCUGUCGCUGUACUUGGUCAAGUCAUCAGAAACGACGAUGUCGCUGUCCAAUAUGGUAUGGUUGAUUCCACACAGGUCUCACCAGUUAACUUCGCUCCACUGAUGCGCUUUUUUUCAAUUUGUCACGAGACAGAGAGUACGAGCAAGACGAGAGAAGGGAGUGAGACAGAGACGAAGAGGCAGAAAGCAAACCCACUUAAUUAAGUAUUUAUGAAAUUCAUAGAAAAAAUUGUAAUCUUUACUUUCGCUUGCAUGUGCUUGGACAAUUUAAUUAUGCAUUAAAUGGCCAUUACUUGGG